CAGUCGCCGCGGGAAUACGUAGGGUGCAAGCGUUAAUCGGAAUUACUGGGCGUAAAGCGUGCGCAGGCGGUUCGCUAAGACAGAUGUGAAAUCCCCGGGCUUAACCUGGGAACUGCAUUUGUGACUGGCGGGCUAGAGUCUUGUAGAGGGGGGUAGAAUUCCAGGUGUAGCGGUGAAAUGCGUAGAGAUCUGGAGGAAUACCGGUGGCGAAGGCGGCCCCCUGGACAAAGACUGACGCUCAGGUGCGAAAGCGUGGGGAGCAAACAGGAUUAGAUACCCGCGUAGUCCCUGUCUCUUAUAC
rnacentral:rRNA from 1 species